CAAUAGCGUAUAUUAAAGUUGUUGCAGUUAAAAGCUCGUAGUUGAAUUUCUAGUCAACCGUUAGCUGGCUUCACAGUCGUUAACGAUUGCCUAUCCGACAUUGAACUGUAAUGGUUAUUAAGUUAACCUUAUAGCGAACUGUCAUUUUACUUUGAAAAAUUAGAGUGUUUCAGGCAGGCAAUUGCCCGAAUAUCUUAGCAUGGAAUAAUGGAAUAGGACUUUGGUUCAUUUGAUUGGUUAUUGAAUCAGAGUAAUGAUUAAUAGGGACAGUUGGGGGCAUUAGUAUUUAAUUGUCAGAGGUGAAAUUCUUGGAUUUAUUAAAGACUAACUUAUGCGAAAGCAUUUGCCAAGGAUGUUUUCAUUAAUCAAGAACGAAAGUUAGGGGAUCAAAGACGAUCAGAUACCAU
rnacentral:rRNA from 1 species